UUUAAACACCAGUUGUCGUACGAUCACAGAAGUUAAGCAAAGUCGAGCCUGGUCAAUACGUAGAUGGGUGUUCGCUUUGAAAUACCAGGUGCUGCAAG